rnacentral:rRNA from 1 species
UACGAAGGGGGCUAGCGUUGUUCGGAUUUACUGGGCGUAAAGCGCACGUAGGCGGAUCUUUAAGUCAGGGGUGAAAUCCUGGAGCUCAACUCCAGAACUGCCCUUGAUACUGAGGAUCUUGAGUUCGGGAGAGGUGAGUGGAACUGCGAGUGUAGAGGUGAAAUUCGUAGAUAUUCGCAAGAACACCAGUGGCGAAGGCGGCUCACUGGCCCGAUACUGACGCUGAGGCACGAAAGCGUGGGGAGCAAACAGGG